rnacentral:rRNA from 1 species
UACGGAGGGUGCAAGCGUUAUCCGGAUUUAUUGGGUUUAAAGGGUGCGCAGGCGGGACCUUAAGUCAGUGGGGAAAUCCCUUCGCUUAACGAAGGAACUGCCAUUGAUACUGAGGUUCUUGAAUCUAGUUGACGUUAGUGGAAUGUGUCAUGUAGCGGUGAAAUGCUUAGAUAUGACACAGAACACCGAUCGCGAAGGCAGCUAACGAAGCUAGUAUUGACGCUCAGGCACGACAGCAUGGGGAGCAAACAGG